rnacentral:rRNA from 1 species
GUGCACCAGGCGCGAAUACUUUACAAUGUGCGAAAGCACGAUAAGGGAACUCUGAGUGCCUCCUAAGGAGGCUGUUCAGGUGUCUAAAAGCACCUGGAGUAAGGGCUGGGUAAGACCGGUGCCAGCCGCCGCGGUAACACCGGCAGCCCAGGUGGUAGCCACUUUUAUUGGGUCUAAAGCGUCCGUAGCCGGUUGAGUAAGUUCCUUGGGAAAUUUGGCUGCUCAACAGUCAAGCUUCCAGGGAAUACUGCUCGACUUGGGACUGGGAGAGGUCAGAGGUACUCCAGGGGUAGGGGUGAAAUCCAUUAAUCCCUGGGGGACCACCGGUAGCGAAGGCGUCUGACCAGACCAGGUCCGACGGUGAGGGACGAAGGCUAGGGUCGCGAACCGGAUUAGAUACCCGUGUAGU